UGCGUGUCUUCCAGCUUCUCUGUUGUUUCAGACCCAGAGAAGGACUUGUGUUUCUGUGGUGCUGCCACUAGCAGUAAUCAUAUUGCUGUGAUGGUCUCUCAUAAAUGAGAACAUAUUUCUCAGGAGGAGUGUCGUGCUCUAGCUUGUAUAGAUAGGAAAAACUGAACAAGUUUGGAGCACAUGAGCGUCUUUUGGCUCAGAAGAGCACCUCACAGCUCACUUGUUUGUUCCAGUUUUAUCAGUAUCUCUAAUGAAAUGCAUUGCUUCAUCCUGAAAACCUUGCUGUUCUUACAUCCACGGUUCCUACUAGCUUCAGAUGGAUUUGUUCCAGUUAAAACUGGCCUAUGCAUCUUCAGGCUCUACUAUGAAAAGUGUUGAGCGUCUGACCUGGCCUGGACAUCAGCAGUGACAGUGUUGGCAACCGUGACUGGGAUGGCUGCUCAGAUUUUGAGGAGUUUUUUUUUUUUCCACGAAGGUAUGGAAAGAGGGAGGAGAGCCUACAUAAUGAAGUGGAGCACAGUGAAAAGAUUGCAGAGCUCCUUUGAAUCCCCAGGAAACUGGGUGCCACUGGAGGGCAUAACUCUAAGAGAACAGCCACGGCUUCAGGCUGAAUCCUGCAGGGUCAUCUACUUUCAACUCACUAACCUGGAUGCAGGUGCAGUCACCGACUGUCACAGGAAGAGGUCCUCAGGUCCUUUCAUUUGUGACUGUGUCUGUGUUCGCUCUUCAGAUGUGCAGAUAUCUUUGGAUCUUUUGGAUCUUUACUUGAGAGCUACAAAAGUACAAGGAAAAGUUUCAGCUUAUUCCUUCAGAUAUGCAUGUUUGUUCUGA
ensembl:lncRNA